rnacentral:rRNA from 1 species
UACGUAGGGGGCGAGCGUUGUCCGGAAUCAUUGGGCGUAAAGCGGGUGUAGGCGGCUCUAUAAGUCAGGAGUGAAAGCCCCAAGCUUAACUUGGGAAGUGCUUUUGAUACUGCAGAGCUUGAAUGUGGGAGAGGGUAGUGGAAUUCCAGGUGUAGUGGUGAAAUACGUAGAUAUCCGGAGGAACACCAGUGGCGAAGGCGGCCAACUGGUCCGACACUGACGCUGAGGUGCGAAAGCGUGGGGAGCAAACAGG